GGUGCUCGUCACUCCAAGUGGAUGGAUCUUCCAGAAGAGUGCAGCAGCUCAGCAAAAGUUAACACAGCCACUGCAGCAAUGACGCUCAUUGCUCCCUCACACAUACAUGACCUAUCCAUCAAUGGGAGUGAUGGGGAAGGCAGUGAAGACCAGUUACCACAAAGCAGUGAAAGAAAAGAACAGGAAGCUUCCACAUCUUUGGGAAUAGUGAAUAAAACUGAAUCCAGUGUCUUCAGUUUGAUUGAAUCCAGUGCCUUAAACUCUGAUGCAAGGAUGGAGGACAGAGAAGACGGGCAUUUAACGCACUGUGGGAAUGAGAAAGAACAAAACAGAGAAGAUCCUCUUAAUAUGUCGAGAUCUGAAGUUAAUGGAAAUACCAGAGAUGUACCAAUACAAACUGUGCUGAAAGUGCUACUGAAAGCAGAAUUACAGCCUGCAGAAGAAACUGAGG